GAUGAACGCUGGCGGCGUGCCUAAUACAUGCAAGUCGAGCGAACGGACGAGAAGCUUGCUUCUCUGAUGUUAGCGGCGGACGGGUGAGUAACACGUGGAUAACCUACCUAUAAGACUGGGAUAACUUCGGGAAACCGGAGCUAAUACCGGAUAAUAUUUUGAACCGCAUGGUUCAAAAGUAAAAGACGGUCUUGCUGUCACUUAUAGAUGGAUCCGCGCUGCAUUAGCUAGUUGGUAAGGUAACGGCUUACCAAGGCAACGAUGCAUAGCCGACCUGAGAGGGUGAUCGGCCACACUGGAACUGAGACACGGUCCAGACUACUACGGGAGGCAGCAGUAGGGAAUCUUCCGCAAUGGGCGAAAGCCUGACGGAGCAACGCCGCGUGAGUGAUGAAGGCCUUCGGGUCGUAAAACUCUGUUAUUAGGGAAGAACAGAUGUGUAAUUAACUGUGCAGAUCUUGACGGUACCUAAUCAGAAAGCCACGGCUAACUACGUG
rnacentral:rRNA from 1 species